CAGUAGCCGCGGUAAUACGUAGGUGGCAAGCGUUGUCCGGAAUUAUUGGGCGUAAAGGGCUCGCAGGCGGUUUCUUAAGUCUGAUGUGAAAGCCCCCGGCUCAACCGGGGAGGGUCAUUGGAAACUGGGAAACUUGAGUGCAGAAGAGGAGAGUGGAAUUCCACGUGUAGCGGUGAAAUGCGUAGAGAUGUGGAGGAACACCAGUGGCGAAGGCGACUCUCUGGUCUGUAACUGACGCUGAGGAGCGAAAGCGUGGGGAGCGAACAGGAUUAGAGACCCCAGUAGUCCCUGUCUCUUAUAC
rnacentral:rRNA from 1 species